AAUAGCUGCUGGGAGAGCUUUAUUUUCGCUACGCAGCAGCAGAUGCCUCGAUUGCUGCGUCGGCGUAGGUUGUCACCCCCACGUAUUGUACGAUCACCAUCCGAGGACUUCGAGAGGGACGAGUCGACGGCUACGACGCAUAGAGUGAAGUAAAAUGAAUAUACGGCAGGGUGCCCUGUUUAUUGUGACGGCAAGCUGUGUGUCAUCAAUUUGUGACGAAUGCUGGCGAGCCAAUGAAUGGAAAGUGAUAUGCUAUGACUAUAAUGUGCCGGAAGAUUUGUGCCCCGGAGUUCCUGCGACAUAUUGCAAGAAAAAGACAAGGCGAUGUGUUUGCGGCUGCGCAACUGGAACGUUUCGUAGAAUGGACUGGGAAUGCGUGCCGUAUAGAGAAUGCGAACACAGGAUCAUGGAACCAAUGCUCCUGCUGACGAGCGACGAAGACCUAAUCAUGGUGGGCGUUUCGGGAGACAUGUACCGAUGGGCUCCGGUCAGCUGCUUUAAAUCUCAAUUUAUUUCCUAUAAUAAUCAAGAACUCCGGCGCACCAUACAAUACGAAUCAGAUCGUUACGCAAAGUAAUGUUACGUUGGAGGUAGAGAUGCACAAGGGCGGAAAAGCAGCUGAUAUAAAGAUCAAUCCGGGACAAAAACCACCUUUACACGUGAACCCAAAGUACGAAAUUUUGUAUGCUACUAAACACUGCCUUAUUUUUGGUACCAUGCCGCAGCCAAAACUUAGAACAUACUGCACCUACUGGGUCAAGAAGAGCGCUGUGAAGAAUCGGAACUGGGCUUGUGACUUCAUCUUAAACCAUUACUGCCGAAGCCCGGAAAUUGUGAUUAAGGAUACAGAAGUCUGUUGGCCUGAAGGAAAUGCAUAAAGAUAGAAAUGAAUUGUACCAACACAAUCGACGAUGAUUUCCAAUGUGAGCGAAAAGCCGGAAGCUUCUAGAGAGGUAAUCGCUUGAUUAAAGAAUGGUACUCU